rnacentral:rRNA from 1 species
UCAGGACGAACGCUGGCGGCGUGCCUAAUACAUGCAAGUCGAACGGUCUUUCUAUGGAAGCUUGCUUCCACUGAGAAGAUAGUGGCGAACGGGUGAGUAACACGUGGGUAACCUGCCCAUAAGAGGGGGAUAACAUCCGGAAACGGGUGCUAAUACCGCAUAGUUUUCUUGAUCGCAUGAUUGAGAAAGGAAAGACGGCCUUUGUGCUGUCGCUUAUGGAUGGACCCGCGGCGUAUUAGUUAGUUGGUGAGGUAACGGCUCACCAAGACGAUGAUACGUAGCCGACCUGAGAGGGUGAUCGGCCACAUUGGGACUGAGACACGGCCCAAACUCCUACGGGAGGCAGCAGUAGGGAAUCUUCCGCAAUGGACGAAAGUCUGACGGAGCAACGCCGCGUGAGUGAAAGAAGGUUUUCGGAUCGUAAAACUCUGUUGCCAGAGAAGAACAAGUUGGAGAGUAACUGCUCCAGCCUUGACGGUAUCUGACCAGAAAGCCACGGCUAACUACGUGCCAGCCGCGGC